rnacentral:rRNA from 1 species
GUGGGGAAUCUUGCGCAAUGGCCGCAAGGCUGACGCAGCGACGCCGCGUGUGGGAUGACGCCUUUCGGGGUGUAAACCACUGUUGCCCGGGACGAACAGCCCGUUUCGACGGGUCUGACGGUACCGGGUGAGGAAGCACCGGCUAACUCCGUGCCAGCAGCCGCGGUAAUACGGAGGGUGCGAGCGUUGUCCGGAAUCAUUGGGCGUAAAGGGCGCGUAGGUGGCCCGCUCAGCGUGCGGUGAAAGCCUGGGGCUCAACCCCGGGUCGGCCGUGCGAACUGGUGGGCUGGAGCACUGUAGAGGCAGGCGGAAUUCCGGGUGUAGCGGUGGAAUGCGUAGAGAUCCGGAAGAACACCGGUGGCGAAGGCGGCCUGCUGGGCAGUGGCUGACACUGAGGCGCGACAGCGUGGGGAGCAAACAGGAUUAGAUACCCGGGUAGUCC